UUGUCUAAACCUUCUCUUCUUAUCCCAUUUCCCGCCCCACUCCCGCUCUCUUUUGGGUGUGCGGGCGAGCGUUGUCUGUGCCGAUGAAGGUCAUUGAUGCUUCCAGCCGGUGAACGAAAUCGAUAAUUGAUGCUUCCAGCCGGUGAACGGAAUCUUCAGGACCUCUACGAGGGGCAGAAGCCCAAACGGAUGAACCAUGGCGAUCCAAACAUCUUCGCACAAGGUUCUAUCACCAAAAUUCUAUCUCCCUGUUGGGUACACAAAUAUUGGUAGUGCCUUCCAUCUUUCUAGAGCUUCUGUUGCAAAGUUUUUUGUGACGCCAACUGCCAAAUCUUUUUGUUCAAAUCGUUAUCAAGACAAUGGUUCAUUUUUGAAGUCGAGAGUUAUGAGGCCUGUUGUGGCUGCAAACAAGGCAUCAUCAGGUGAUAAGCAAGAGGAUGGAAGAUACAAAAACACGGUUGACCUGCCAAGGACAACAUUUGGUAUGAGAGCAAAUUCUGCUGUGAGGGAGCCUGAAAUUCAGAAAUUAUGGGAUGCUGAACAAGUGUUGAAAAAGGUUGUCGAUAGGAACAAUGGGGGAGUUUUCAUCUUGCAUGAUGGUCCGCCAUAUGCUAACGGUGAUCUGCAUAUUGGUCAUGCACUAAACAAGAUCUUAAAGGAUAUCAUCAAUCGCUAUAAGCUUCUUCAAAAUUAUAAGGUGCAUUACGUGCCCGGUUGGGACUGCCAUGGUCUUCCGAUAGAACUGAAGGUUUUGCAAUCUAUGGAUAGCGAUGCAAGGAAGGAACUUACACCAUUAAAGUUGCGGAAAAAAGCUGCAAAGUUUGCUAAAGAAACUGUUAUGACUCAGAUGAAAUCAUUUAAGCGGUAUGGUGUAUGGGGAGAUUGGGAAAAUGCUUAUUUGACUCUCUCUCCGGAAUAUGAAGCUGCCCAGAUAGAGGUGUUUGGCAAAAUGGCUCUAGAAGGCCAUAUUUAUAGGGGUCGGAAGCCUGUGCAUUGGAGUCCAUCCUCACGUACUGCUCUUGCAGAGGCUGAACUGGAGUACCCAGAGCUACAUGUUUCACAAAGUAUAUAUGCCAUAUUCAAGGUAACCCAUGUUCCUGAUGCUUCACUGGACUUCUUCAAAGAAUUUCUUCCCGAUGUUUCAUUGGCCAUAUGGACUACUACGCCUUGGACCAUCCCAGGAAAUGCUGCUGUUGCAGUAAAUCCUGUGCUGCUAUAUGCUAUUGCUGAAGUGCAUCCGCUUGUGGAAGACAAUAUAACAUCAAAAACUAGUAACACCAUACUCAGCAAGACUCUAAGAAGUGGACAUCAGAAGCUAUUUGUUGUCGUUGCAUCUGAUCUUGUUUCUACCCUGGAAACCAAGUGGGGAGUCAAACUUACCAUAAAGAAGACUCUGCUGGGUUCUGUUCUUGAGAAUUGCAGGUAUAUCCAUCCAGUUGGAGGCACAGAAUGCUCUGUUGUCCUUGGGGAGGGGUACAUAACCACUGAAUCAGGAACUGGUUUAGUCCAUACAGCUCCUGGCCAUGGUCAAGAAGAUUAUGUAACUGGUCUGAAAUAUGGGUUGCCCAUAUUUUCUCCUGUAGAUGAUAAUGGAAAGUUUACAGAUGAAGCUGGACAAUUCAGUGGUUUGGAUGUUCUUGGUGAUGGAAAUACUGCCGUCAUUAGAUUUUUGGAUGAAAAAAUGUUGCUCAUGAAGCACGAACCAUAUAAGCAUAAGUACCCGUAUGAUUGGAGAACAAAAAAGCCAACCAUAUUUAGGGCUACAGAGCAGUGGUUUGCAUCAGUAGAAGGGUUCAGGAGAGAUGCUAUGGAUGCAAUCAGUAAAGUGUCAUGGGUUCCACCACAGGGAGAAAACAGGAUUGCAACAAUGACAUCCUCCCGCUCUGAUUGGUGCAUUUCAAGGCAGAGAACAUGGGGCGUGCCCAUUCCAGCUUUUUAUCACAUUCAUUCAAAAGAGCCCCUGAUGAACAAGGAGACAAUCGACCAUAUUAAGUCAAUAAUAGCUGAAAAGGGUAGUGAUGCAUGGUGGUAUAUGCCUGUUGAUGAACUACUGCCUGAGAAAUAUCGUGAUAAAGCUUGUGAAUAUCAGAAAGGAACUGACACAAUGGAUGUUUGGUUUGAUUCUGGGUCCUCUUGGGCAGCUGUUCUAGAGAAAAGGGGACUUAACUGGCCAGCAGAUUUGUAUCUUGAAGGAACGGAUCAGCAUCGUGGCUGGUUCCAGAGUUCACUGCUUACUUGCAUUGCUGCAAAAGGUAUGGCUCCAUAUAAAAGCGUUUUAACUCAUGGAUUUGUACUUGAUGAGAAGGGUUUGAAGAUGAGCAAAUCUGUGGGAAAUGUUAUAGAUCCAGCCAUUGUGAUUGAUGGAGGAAAAAAUACAAAGGAAUCACCUGCUUAUGGAGCUGAUGUACUGCGUCUCUGGGUUUCUAGUGUGGAUUAUUCUAGUGAUGUGUUGAUUGGUCCUCAAAUUCUACGGCAAAUGUCGGACAUUUACCGGAAACUUCGAGGAACUCUACGUUAUCUUUUGUCUAAUUUACAUGAUUGGGAGCCUGAGAAUGCUGUUUCCUAUGACAACCUCCCAAUGAUUGAUCGUCAUGCUUUAUUCCAACUACAAAAUGUUGUCAGUAGCAUCAAGGAGGGCUAUGAGAGCUAUCAGUUCUACAAAAUAUUCCAGAUUAUACAACGAUUCAUAAUUGUUGACUUGUCGAAUUUCUACUUUGAUGUUGCCAAGGACCGAUUAUACGUAGGGGGAACAAGAAGUCCAACAAGGAGAAGUUGUCAAACUGUACUUGCGGCCCAUCUCUUGUCUAUUGUUAGAGUGAUUGCUCCAAUAUUACCACACUUGUCUGAGGAUGUUUGGCAGUGUCUGCCUUUUAAAUUUGUUAUGGCAGAUGGAUAUUUGGCGAAAUUUGUGUUUGAAGCACGUUGGCCAACUAUAGACCACCAGUGGGCGGCAAUGCCACUUGAAGAUGUUGGUUUUUGGUCCAAUGUUCUUGAGUUGAGAACAGAGGUGAAUAAAGUUCUGGAGACUGCCAGAACAGGAAAGAUGAUUGGUUCCAGCUUAGAUGCAAAAGUCUGGAUACAUACUUCUGAUCGAGAGCUAGCUACUAAAUUGCAACAACUGUGUCAAGCAAGCAAUGAUGCAGACAGUCUUCACAGGAUAUUCAUAAUAUCCCAGGUUGAAAUUGUUUCUUCCAUGGAAGACAUGUCCAGUCAAGAUAUUCCCUACACCGGUCAUUAUGAUACGAAAGGAGGGAACACGAUUUGGAUUGGAGUAUCUUCUGCUGAUGGUGGCAAGUGUGAAAGGUGCUGGCACUAUUCUACUCAAGUUGGGACAUUUGCUGGUCAUCCAACACUUUGUGGCCGCUGUUACAAUGUGAUCAUGGAAAACCAACCUCAAUUAGCUGCAGCAAGUGCUAGCUAAAUUCACUGUAGUCCACACAACCAACUACGCCCGACUCUGCGGAUGGAUGUUGUCAGCAGACUCAGCACUGUAUCAGGAUCCUUGUUCUUCCCUCUCUCCAGCAAGCCAACCUCUUACUGGUAGGUGCCUAAAAUAAAGGAAACGGAUCAAACGGGAACUAAACUAGCCACAAAGAGGACUUCAGAUUGAUGACCGCAAAGACAAGGAUUUUGCAACAAUUUCCCCUCAACAGGAGGCUAUGUUUUUUUUAGGUGGGACUUCACAGAACCAGUUUCGAAAGAAGACAUAGGUUUACCUCGGCAACCGUGGCAACUCAACGGCCUUAGUUCCAGACCUUGAAGUAGAACAAAGUCAAGGUUCAAUACUCGGGGUAAGUUCCCCAAAAUUCUGCACGCUAAUUAACCCAAGAAGGAAA